rnacentral:lncRNA from 1 species
GUGAAAUAAAGAGAACGAGGGUAAAUAAUUCAUACAUAAUUAAGCACAAUUUAAACCAUACAUGAAAGAAAAAUUGAUGACAUUAUCACCAAAGAAAAAAACUAGAGGGUCCAAGGAGCCUGUGUCGCUCACCUGAUAAUUUAUUUAUAAUUGAUGCAUUAAAUAAUGCAACCGUUAUACUUUUGCUUUGAUUAAUUUCAGAGAUAUAUGUCAUUUUUGCCCUAUGUUAUAUUUUUAGCCAUGUCUGCCAUUUCAGUCACCGAACACAUUUUUCUAACUAGAUGCCCUAAUGUUAAUUGUUGCCAAGUUUGGUUAUUUCAGGAGAAGGCUUUUGUAAAAGAUUACAAAUAUUUACUAAAAAUUGUUAACAGUUGACUAUAAAAGGCAAUAGUUCCUUAAAGGAUCAACACAGAAU